GCCUACCCAUCGAAGCCACCGCAUACCACGCCGCAAGUCGCCUCAUGCCGCCACCGCUCGCCCCUUUCUCUGUAUAUAGGUCGCCAACGCAACCCUGGGCCCCAGGAUCGUUCCCUCCUCCCAACCAGGCUCGAGGAGGCGGCCAUGAGGAGCGCGCAGCCGCCGCAAUCCUGGGCAGAUCUAGCCGGGGUCGUCGGCAGCCAUCCCUCCCUCCGGGCGGCCAUGAAGAAUUGAAGCGGCUUGCGCAGAACUAGCGCAUGGAUCAUGCGCGCCUCCCGCGCUAGGAGCCACCGGUCCUCGUCAUCCGCUAGCAUCCACGAGGAAUCGAUCCAUAUGGCCGUUGACGAGGAUGUGAGGUGGGCGACUGCACAGGGCCCCCAAAAAUUAGGGGGCUUCAAAUCCUGUAUAUGUGUUCUUCAUCGCCAUGGAUCUGAGAGUGCCCAAACUGCUUGUUUUUGUUGGAGAAGAGAGAACAUGAAGAAGAGGGACCUAGGUCGUGGGCCCCUUUGGCGAAGGGGUAAGUGCCUACUGCAGGUCUGGUUCAACCAGCUGUACUUGUGCGAUUCAGCCACUUCUUCAAGGAGCCACAAAAAACCAGUCAGUACACCUGAUCGAAAUACGAGAGGGGAAAGCCCUAGAUGGACGACGUGGUCAUGGCUGACGGCCGCACCCAUACGAGCGGCAUCCUUGGUUCCUCUGUGUGUCCUAGGGCGGUGAGGCCCAUGAUCUCGUCCAUGGAGCACUGUAGCAUCAUUGUUGUGCCUCUGCUAUCAUCCGUCGCCAGAACAAGCAGGCAUGUACGUUUCCCUUGCCUGACGCAUUCCCAUAGUCAAUGUGAGUAUUUUGUUCAUAUUGACAUCACCACAUGGCUAUUUCUAAUUUCCAUGUUCCUCUUUUGUAUGAUUGGGAAUUCCUUCUGUCAUGUUUAUUUGUUGCCCAUCUCAUGGCUGGAAUCGUUCCUAAUUAGAGGCUCUUUUCUUGAGUUGGUCAGUACUAGAAGGCACUAACAUGCUAAUUGAGACAAGCAUGGAAAAUAACUUGUAUAGUCAAUGCUGUACUAGACCACUACAUUAGAACAGAUGCAUUAUUUUAGUUUAAUUUCCAAUACAACUUGCCCCAAACAGCUACUCCUAGUUAGAUUUGGAGUAUAUAUGCAGAGUUAGAUUUGAAUGAAACUAGCUACUUCUGUCAAUGUCAGAACUUUAAGUUUUAGGUAUAUAUGUUAUUCCUAAUAUGCUUGCUUCCCCUUAUAAUUUCAGUCAUUUUGGCUACUUAGAUGUUGGUUUAAUUUGAUUAUGUGGCAUGUAGUUCAUUUGUUGUUAGCCACAGUCCAGGGGCCUCAAUUUUCUGGAGAUCGCCUGGGUUCUUUGCAGGGUUCUGAUGAUAUUUCCAAGGAAAUAUACUGAUCCUGAUGUGAAAAAACUGCCCAUUUUUCCCUUUCUUAAACAUUUUUACUCUGUUUUUUGUUCUUCCUAGUUCCAGCUUCACAUUGCUGGUGUUUCAUGCCAUAUUCAUCAGAUCCUGCUUACAUGCCUUGUGAUUAACUUGAUUAGUAUUUCUGUGCCACUGUCCAACUGGUUCUUAAAGGUACUAAAUCCAGAUUGAAGAGCAAACUCUAUUUGCAGGUGCCAACGAAGAGGAUUGACAAAUAAGAUAGUAGUCCAAACUUGCAAAAUACCUUUUUCAGAGAUCUAGUCCUAACAAGACUCCAGGUGCAAGGCUAACUGUUAUUUCUUCAAGUGCGCUCUAAUUGUUAUUUCUUCAAGUGCGCUCAUACAAGCUGAACAAGGAAUUCUCAAAUGUUUAAAGCAAUGGAAAGUCACGACCUUGCUUUCUCUUAAUGUUCACCUGCAUUUUAUAUGUAUGACCUUCAUAAUUAGCUAGCUGCUUCUUCUCUUUCACAAUGUGUUGUUGCUGCAUCGAGUCACAACUUUGAAAAAACGAAUAUGUGCUAGCUAGGGACAUGAACUUAACCGAAACUCCCGAUUGAGUCACAACUUAAAUCAACAGUUGAUGCUUUUAGUACAUGUACUUGUGCUUAUGCUUUAGACAUUUACACUUGUAAAACUGUUCUGAUCCCUCAGUUACAUGCUUGUUGACACAAAUAGUUUGGUGAUAGUUAUUUUUAACAAGGGCUGGAAUAAUUGUAUGAUGUAUGUUAUGUUGGACUUAUUAACUAGAACUAUUUUUUUGAUUUCUUGAUUGCAGGAUCCAAAGAUCUAGCUCGACUGGACAGUUAGUCUUGGCCUUAAUUAGGAUGGCCAAAUUACAUUUGAGUAUCAUUUGAUGGAUAUUUGCUAUGAGAAUUAUGAAUUUUAUGAAUCUAUAUAUUAUACGUAUGGUUUUGAAUAUUGUAAUUGAAUGCAUGUAUUUUUUU